GCAAUACAAGCUGCUGUAAAGAAAUAUCUCAAAAAAUAAUAAAACUUUCUGCUAGUAAGACCGACAAGUAAAUGCCAGUCUAAAUCACAUUGUAAUUUCUGGGUUCAACUUACCCUUCUGUGGCACUGUGAAGUAUAAGAUGGGUUUCAGAUUGUCUAAUUUAUAUAGUGCUUCUACACUGGUGGUUUCAUACUUAAGUGGAAAUCUGAUAUACACUUUUGAGAUGGAAGUUUGGGAAGGGUGGGUUUGAGUGAGUCUUUGUUUUACUGAUGCACUCUCAAAUACUUGACAGAUACUUCAGAUAGCAUGAAGGACCCUGUGGUGAUGAAGAGAGAGAGGAAAUUACUUUCUUCUGUUAGAGUUCUUAAAGAAUUCCCAUGAAUAAAGUAGAGUAAGGCAAGGGGAAGAAAUGAAAAAUCAUCAUGUAAGGUUUAAAAAACAACAGCCUGCCUAAAGCACAGAGAGGAUGGGCCACUGAGUUACUGGCCCAUGAUUCAUUUCAGUGAUUCCUGCUUGACUUGUCUCCAUUCGUAGACCAUGCUAACUGGGGUGUGCACCUCUGUCACAAAAUGUGGCCUCUGGAUAUUAUCACCAUCCUUCAUGAAUGGAAAGCUUGGGGCCUUUUCCAGG